GUAACGCGUGAGAAUCUGCCUUCAGGUUCGGGACAACAGCUGGAAACGGCUGCUAAUACCGGAUGUGCCGAGAGGUGAAAGCUUAAGUGCCUGGAGAUGAGCUCGCGUCUGAUUAGCUAGUAGGAGUGGUAACGGCACCCCUAGGCGACGAUCAGUAGCUGGUCUGAGAGGAUGAUCAGCCACACUGGGACUGAGACACGGCCCAGACUCCUACGGGAGGCAGCAGUGGGGAAUUUUCCGCAAUGGGCGCAAGCCUGACGGAGCAAGACCGCGUGAGGGAAGAAGGUCUGUGGAUUGUAAACCUCUUUUGAUAGGGAAGAAGACAGUGACGGUACCUAUCGAAUCAGCCUCGGCUAACUCCGUGCCAGCAGCCGCGGUAAUACGGAGGAGGCAAGCGUUAUCCGGAAUUAUUGGGCGUAAAGAGUCCGUAGGUGGGUAACCAAGUCAGCUGUUAAAUAGUGAAGCUUAACUUCAUAGAGGCGGCUGAAACUGGUUGUCUAGAGUGUGGUAGGGGUAGAGGGAAUUUCCAGUGUAGCGGUGAAAUGCGUAGAUAUUGGAAAGAACACCGGUGGCGAAAGCGCUCUACUGGGCCUGCACUGACACUGAGGGACGAAAGCUAGGGGAGCC
rnacentral:rRNA from 1 species